AGAUGUGAAGGCAAUCUGGUUGUGACAUCUGUCACUCCAUUGAUUGUCAGGGUUGAUUUGGCUGAUCUGAUUGGUUAGGCAGGUGUCCCCUUCCUCACCACUCCAUGUGCAUCCCUCCCAAAGCUGUGUGCUCAAUUGAAGAGGACGAUCAUCCCCAAUAGAGGAGGACAGGUCUUUGGUCAGGUAUACAAGUAGCUGCACUCCCCAUUUUCUGGGGAGGAAUUCAAGCUGGCUGCGGAAAUUUGCAUAAGUAACAAGGAACUGAAUGUUACUUAU
rnacentral:snRNA from 1 species